rnacentral:rRNA from 1 species
GACGUAGGGCGCGAGCGUUGUCCGGAUUUAUUGGGCGUAAAGAGCUCGUAGGCGGCUUGUUGCGUCGGCUGUGAAAACCCAUGGCUCAACCGUGGGCUUGCAGCCGAUACGGGCAGGCUAGAGUUCGGUAGGGGAGUGGGGAAUUCCUGGUGUAGCGGUGAAAUGCGCAGAUAUCAGAAGGAACACCGGUGGCGAAGGCGGGUCUCUGGGCAACAACUGACGCUGAGGAGCGAAAGCGUGGGGAGCGAACAGG